UACGUAGGGGGCAAGCGUUGUCCGGAAUCAUUGGGCGUAAAGGGUGCGUAGGUGGCGCCGUAAGUCAGGUGUGAAAUCUCGGGGCUUAACUCCGAAACUGCAUUUGAUACUGCGGUGCUUGAGGACUGGAGAGGAGACUGGAAUUUACGGUGUAGCAGUGAAAUGCGUAGAGAUCGUAAGGAAGACCAGUGGCGAAGGCGGGUCUCUGGACAGUUCCUGACACUGAGGCACGAAGGCCAGGGGAGCAAACGGG
rnacentral:rRNA from 1 species